GCUGGUGAUUUCCAGGAAGUGACCUCACAAUGACUCAAGCUACCACAUACUGUUGAUUGUGAAAUGCCAGUUGAAGCAUAUGUCCUGCAAGCUUAGGGGUGCUACAAGUUGACCACUGCAGCAGUAAAGAUGACUCUGAAGAAUGGCAUGGGAUGGAUCCUUUCGAAGGCACUUGAGCAGCAGUCUCCAACCACAGGGCCACAGAGCUGGAGCUGGAUCUACCAUGAAAGACUUCUGAAUCCAGGAAGAGAGACUGACUGGGCAACAUGUUAUUCAGGUUCAAAAAGAUUUGGACUGUAACUUAAAAAUGAUCAAAUAAUAGUGCAUGCAUCAAGUGCAAUGUGAAGCUCUUCUGGAGAGUGAGAGAAGCUUCCAGUUAAGUUUUAAUAUAAUUAUCUACAGAAAGAAAUAGUCUUAGAGAUCUUCAAUAAAGUUAAAAAA
rnacentral:lncRNA from 1 species